GACAGAGGGGCAAGCGUUGCUCGGAAUCACUGGGCGUAAAGGGCGCGUAGGCGGGAUGGCAAGUCGGUCGUGGAAAUCCUUCGGCUCAACCGAAGAACGGUCGGCCGAUACUGCCGUUCUUGAGGGAUGCAGAGGAGAUUGGAAUUCCCGGUGUAGCGGUGAAAAUGUGUAGAGAUCGGGAGGAACGACCGGUGGCGAAGGCGGGUCACUG
rnacentral:rRNA from 1 species